GAGGAGGUCCAGCCACACUGGAACUGAGACACGGUCCAGACUCCUACGGGAGGCAGCAGUGGGGAAUAUUGCACAAUGGGCGCAAGCCUGAUGCAGCCAUGCCGCGUGUAUGAAGAAGGCCUUCGGGUUGUAAAGUACUUUCAGCGGGGAGGAAGGGAGUAAAGUUAAUACC
rnacentral:rRNA from 1 species